AUUGAACGCUGGCGGAAUGCUUUACACAUGCAAGUCGAGCGGCAGCGCGGGGCAACCUGGCGGCGAGCGGCGAACGGGUGAGUAAUGCAUCGGAACAUGUCCAAUUGUGGGGGAUAGCCCGGCGAAAGCCGGAUUAAUACCGCAUGAGCCCGGGAGGGGAAAGUGGGGACUCGCAAGAGCCUCACGCGAUUGGGUUGGCCGAUGUCCGAUUAGCUAGUUGGCGGGGUAAAGGCCCACCAAGGCGAUGAUCGGUAGCUGGUCUGAGAGGAUGAUCAGCCACACUGGGACUGAGACACGGCCCAGACUCCUACGGGAGGCAGCAGUGGGGAAUUUUGGACAAUGGGGGCAACCCUGAUCCAGCCAUUCCGCGUGAGUGAAGAAGGCCUCGGUUGUAAGCUCUUUUGUCCUGGAACAAAACAGGCGUACGGUGAAUACCCGUCGGCUACUGACGGUACCGGAAGAAUAAGCACCGGCUAACUACGUGCCAGCAGCCGCGGUAAUACGUAGGGUGCGAGCGUUAAUCGGAAUUACUGGGCGUAAAGCGUGCGCAGGCGGUUUUGUAAGCCAGAUGUGAAAAGCCCCGGGCUCAACCUGGGAAUGGCAUUGGGACUGCAAGGCUGGAGUGCGGCAGAGGAGACUGGAAUUCCCGGUGUAGCAGUGAAAAUGCGUAGAUAUCGGGAGGAAUACCGAUGGCGAAGGCAAGGUCUCUGGGCUGACACUGACGCUCAGGCACG
rnacentral:rRNA from 1 species